CUUCUCUUAUUUCCUAAACAACCAAUAAUAUUUAUAUUUGUCAAGUAGUACUUAACAUGACAUUUUCCAGUUUUAAGUUGCUACUGUAGCACUUCAGUUGACUUUAACUUACAGUUACAAUAUAAAAUCCACCAACUCACAGCUGAUCCUCACUUUUCCAAACUUAUGUUCUAUAGCAAAAUGCUGUGUUUCUGGGUUGGCUCAUUGCACAUGUUAUUCAUUGUUUACAUUUUUUACCUAUAGAUACCCAUAAUAUCUGCCGAACAUCUGACUAGCCACAAGUAUGUUACACAGAUGUAGACAUUUUGUCAUCAAACAAUCAUAACUAAAGAGAAAAGGACAGUGUGUUUGGGUUGAGAAGAGGACAAGCUCAUUAGCCAUAAUGUAUAUACUAUCAAGCAACACUCGGAAACUCCCUCAGCAGUAAGACAUCCACACAUUGCAUGUUAACGAGAUGAAACAAGAACUUGGAAAUCCACUGCACACUGUUGCCUAUAUACUUUGUACAUUUAAUUGAUAUUUGUGCUGAGGUGAUCUUAUUGUCUAAAAACUACAACAUUGUCUAUCUUUUCUAGCACAGAAGUAUGCAUAUGGAUUUGAAUAUGCAUAUGUAGUCUAUUUCCUACAUAAUCAUGUAUGUCACCUUGAAAAGACAGACGAUGAUGUAACCAUAAAUCUAUUAUGUAUUGGUACGUCUGUAGACCAAGAUAUAAUUUUUUAAAGUAAGUUUAUUUCUUUCAAGGUUUACAAAUAACAAAGGUGCACCUUGUAUUUAAAAUUGCCAUUAUAGAUGAGAGCGUGCAUGCACAGUAAUUUUUGUUUAAGAGUAAUAUUUUUAAUGUAAUAGAUUGUAAGAAGUGGUAAGAGAGGUAUCUGACAGAGAUGAAUGUGCCAAGCAAAACCACAACUGUGUAUAUUUUAAAGCACAUCAAUGGCUUUAAAUACCAUGUUGUUAAGGAUUCUCAUGAAGUGCCAUAGACUGUACAUCUGUUUAGAGUAUUAUUUCUGCAGUGUUAUUUUCAGAACCACGUUUUCACUUACUUUAUUAGUACUAAUCAGUCAAAGGGCACCAUUCUGUUUCAAACCAAAGCUGUCUCAGAAAUGGCCAACGAUUCCUUACAGUAACAGUAGACAGCACAAGGAAGAUACUCUAGCCGUACAAAUUAACCCAUACUGGACAUAUAUAUAAACUAUUUUAAGGCAUCGUAGUGUAAUAUUUAUGCAUAUUUUACUGUAUAACGUGAUAUAUGAAAGGGAAAAGCCAUUUCUGAGACACAGUAACAAAUGUUUGAGGAACUUCUUUUGCUUCUAUUUAUAGCCUCUGUCGAAAGUCAAAAGGACUAUAAAUGUUUUGCAGAGAUGGGUUUCACUUUUACUUCAUCAAAGUCACGCUUUACACGGUGACUCUAAACAAAGACGAAAGAAGCACUGACAUCAGAUGCAUGACAAACCAAAAUAUGAAAAAAUGGAGAUGUUAAUUAGCAUAGAAAUUGGGUGGGUUAAAUACUUGGGUGAGUUUUAUAUGUGAUUUUUUUUGUUCAGAUUAACUGCUUAUAGCCUUAGAAAGCCUUUACAAAAUAAAAACAAAAAAAUAGAUGUGCAUUCAAGUUUUAAGAAUGGAUUCAUCCAAAGGAAUUCCUUUUUGUGGUUUGGAUGUUGCAGCUAGUAAAGGAUAUUUUUGCUCUGUUCAGCAAAGUGCUGAAGUGGGGGCCAGGUCACUGGUAGCGUAGCGUGGAGUGGAAGAAGCGCGAGUUCGGUUGUAGAACUCUCCAUACUUCCAAGUUUACUGCGAGUUUUUAUGCUUGAGAGAGAUGCUUUAUAGUAUAAGAAUGAUGUGUUGAUUUUACUGAUUGUACUGUACAUCUAUUAAAGCCUUAGAUUAUUACAUUACGGGUUAAAACCCAUACCAAUGUAAUUUCAAUCGUGUUAAGAAAGUAUAGGUGACUUCACAUGUUAUUGUAGUUACUUAACAUUAUAGAAUAUUACUUAUUUUUUUCUUGUUAAAAGUGUAGUUUUUAUUUCUUACAUUUAUUAGAUUGUUUUCAUUUUCUAUUACCAGUUGAAUACCAUUUCAGUUUAUAGAAUUUUGUUUUAUUAGAGUUUACUGAUGACUUUUUCAAAAUACAAAAAAAAAAAGUAGUUUUCUUCAUAACAUACUCAGUUUUGAAUUUACAUGUAGUGUCAUAUGAGUAUUCGUAUUAUUGUUAACUAAAUGAUUUAUAUUUUACUGAUUUAAUAUUACAAUGUAAGAAUGUCAGUCAUUGUUAGUUCUUGUCUAGUUUUCAUUAAAAGAACAAAGAUCUUUUAUAUGGAUAUCUUAUAAUUAUAUAAUCAUUGCUAAGUAAGAAGUUAAGUUGUUGCUAUCGCAACAAUCCUGGCAGACAAUUGAGUAAUAUUUUGAUGAUUUAUUUUGUUUGUAAUUAGUUAUUAUGAGAAAAUCUAGUUCCUAGAUAUUAGAAUAAAAUUUAUUUUCUACUGUAUCCAUUUCAAAUGUUAAAAUAUUGUUUAAAUAUUUUUUGAAAUCCCUGAAUAUCAGGCCUUGUUAUAAAUAAGCUGCAUAAUCAAUAGAUCAAGGGACUUUUUGUUGAUAAUCCAAAUACUCAAAGUUUACGUAACAAGAAUUAUAGUGUGUGUGUGCAAACUCUUGAGGGUUGAUUAUGCUGCAGUUAGCAUGUGGGAACGUAUAGAGAGAAGGUUGACUUUUUGCACUUCUGUAUAUAGUCAAAAAAGAGAGAAACCUGUAUAAUAGUAAGAUCUUAUUUUGAAUAAAAAUGUCUAUAAUUACAAGGAGUUUUGUUAAGGCUAAUAAAAUGACAGGCUGAACAAAAUUGCUUGCAAAAGUGGCACAGAGUUAGCACUCCAUACCCCUUCAAAAAAGUUGCUUUGCUUUAUGUGGACAGCUUGUAGUUUGCCAGGAUUUUUUCAGCUGGAAAGAUAUGCCAUCCUUCCAAGAUCUCAUGACUGACAAAAGCUCCACUGGUUCAAAUCUGCCUGAAAAUCAUUAAUAAAGAAAAAAAGAAAAAAAAAAAGAAAAAAAAAGUAAAAAAAGCAGGUACUUCAAACCAUCAAGGUGAAAUCAUGGAUCAAAUAUUCCGUACAUUAUUCAAAAACUACUGCAUGUUUAAAGUAUCAGAAAAAUAUAUUAAAGAUAUAUGCUAUUCAAUCCAGUUUCUGACAAUUUCAGUGGUUUAUUGUUCACAAAAAAAGAUUCUUCAAAACAAAUACUGACUUUCACAAAAGAGUUAAAUCAUGAACAGGCAAACCAAACAGCACACCGUAGCUGUAGUUGUUAUGUGAUUAUUUUUUAUUGCUGUAGUGGUCCUGUUCUUUUAGCAGGUGAAAAGGAAAAAAAAAAAAA